UGGAGGGCGCUACAGUCGACAACGUGGUGUCUCAGUAUGUGUGCACACUGUUAUACCCACUUGACUCCACUAGUGGUGAGUGCCGUAGUUUGUGGCGUCGGUCGUGCGGUUUACGGUGGUGAAGUGGUUGACUGUAUUACGCGAGCAGUGUGCGAUGGGGUUCCAUUGCAGUUUGCUGUUCAUCGUUGCAGUUCUUGAUUACCGGCGGCAAACGAGCAACGAGCACGGACGCCUGCUGAGCUGCCUCCAAAGUUCUGCGAACGUCAGCUGGGGCCGCCGCCAGCUCACUUCGAUGGCCGCCGGCUGCUGGGAGAUAAUGUAUAGGAGGGGAAAGUUUUAAGUGAGCCCGCAGUGCCUCCACUUCUUAUGGAGGAACACGCCGAGUACCAAGUAACUGGAAUCUGCCAGAACACAAGCAAAUUACAACAUACGCAUGCUCAAGGAUG